AGCAGUUCUCAGGUGAUGCACCCCGGAAUUGGGCUCCCUCCUCUCUGGUUCUGGGGUGCAUCACCCAAGAACGGCU
rfam:Myotis lucifugus cont2.32519, whole genome shotgun sequence.